GACGAACGCUGGCGGCGUGCUUAACACAUGCAAGUCGAACGGAAAGGCCCUGCUUUUGUGGGGUGCUCGAGUGGCGACCGGGUGAGUAACACGUGAGUAACCUGUCCUUCACUUUGGUAUAACUUAAGGAAACUUGGGCUAAUACCGGAAAGGAUCUCUCGCCGCAUGGUGGGGGUUGGAAAGAUUCGGCGGUUGGGGAUGGAAUCGCGGCGUAUCGGAUUGUUGCUGGGGUAGUGGCUUACCAUGGCUUUGACGGGUAGCCGGCCUGAGAGGAUGAGCGGACACGUUGCGACUGGAAUGAGACCCAGACUCCUACCGUACGCGAGGGUGCAGAGUAGAACACUGGAGGCGGGGGGCAGGUGCAACACCGCCGCGUGGGGGAUGACAGGCUUGGGGUAGUGAUCCGCUGUCGCCUUAGACGAGAUGAGAGUGACAGUAAUGGGUAAAGAAGCUCCGGCUAACUACGUG
rnacentral:rRNA from 1 species